UACGAAGGGGGCUAGCGUUGCUCGGAAUCACUGGGCGUAAAGGGUGCGUAGGCGGGUCUUUAAGUCAGGGGUGAAAUCCUGGAGCUCAACUCCAGAACUGCCUUUGAUACUGAAGAUCUUGAGUUCGGGAGAGGUGAGUGGAACUGCGAGUGUAGAGGUGAAAUUCGUAGAUAUUCGCAAGAACACCAGUGGCGAAGGCGGCUCACUGGUCCGAUACUGACGCUGAGGCACGAAAGCGUGGGGAGCAAACAGG
rnacentral:rRNA from 1 species